AUGAAAAGCUCUGGAGCUUUGUGUCAAUCUUCCGGUUUUGCCAAACAGCUGCAGUCGGAUGUUCGGCAACAUGUGGGCACAUAUCCCAGGAAAAUGCUUUGGAUUUUAAACUCAGGGGCCUGUUAUUUUCAACUUCUCCAGGUCCAAACUGCCUCAGGUCAAGGUGAUGGGGGCGUGGGGAUAGUAAGAACGAUUAGAGAUGAGUUACAUGUUCGGGAGAACCCCACCCCCACAAAGCCUGGACCUUUUGUCGGGGACUUGCCGGCAGCUAUAUUCUUUCUUUCUCAGGAUUCUGUGAAGAAGCAUAAGACAUCUUCUUUUCUCCUUUCCAGUCUCAAAUCUGGCAGAGUUUACAGACUUCAUGAGGGGAGAGAUAAGAAAAGCUCAGGAGCCGACAACCAUCCGCUAGUCGGGCACUUACUCUCAGGUUAGUCAUGUAAAUGAAAACUAUGCCACAUGGCAAAGAUUUGACCAACUCUUCAGCAGACAGUCAGCCAGCCCAGCGGAUGGAGAAGAGAGAAUCCAGCCGAGGGUCACCUGCCCCUCAUCCCUACUGGAUGGCUUGACCUCCCUCAGCCCACUUGCACCUCAGUGGGCAUGAAAUAGAGCAGGACUGUAUGGUCCUUCCCCCCAUGUCCUCUGCCUGCCUUUGCUUUGCAGGGAACUUUAGUCAAAGAAUAAGUUUAAUCAGAGAAAGGAGAACAUGCAGAAACAAAGGAAAGUCGUCAAAGGAGACCAGAGAGUCAUGAUGUAGUCAUUAAGCAUGGUCGUUUCAUUCUUCUCAACGGCUGUCAAUAAUAUUCUGAGCCACCUUCUAGGUACUGAAACACCCACCAGGGGGAAGAAGUUAACUGCAUGAUGGCCAGGUUGUAGUCAUGACAUAAACUGCUGCAAUCCUGAGAACUGGCCUCAAGGAAAUGGAAACAAGCCAGCCCUGGAACUGAAGAUUAACUGUACCUAAACCACUAAGAUGACACUGGUCAGACCAUCAGUGAUCCAUUUGAAGAUGGCUCUCAGAGCUGACUGUGCUGUUUCAUCAUGUAACGCCCUCCCCUGUUCUAUAAAAGCUCUUAUUCUCUGCUUGUCAUGGGAGAUGUCUGCCCCCUCAGCAAGCCCCACCCUCCAGUUGUCAGCAUCUGAAAUAAAGAUGCCUCCACCAACCUGUUUAUUGGUUUUUGAGCAGCAAGCAGCCAGACUCCACAUCUUUCUGUAACAGGCUCACGUGAAUAGUUCUAACCAAUGGAAGGUAGGGGAAGCAAUGUUUUACCUCCAGUCAGAAGCGCUUAAAGUGCAUGGGCCCUCUCUACCCUCUUGCUUCUCCUUCGUCACUUGGCAGGAUUCAGAGGAGAACCCCAAGAGUCUCAGAGAAGACAAAGACAUUGGUAAAGAGAGGACACUGAUUCCACAGUGGCUGUGUGCAGCAGAGAACACCCAACCUUGCUGCUGCUGCUGCUAAGUCGCUCAGUCGUGUCCAACUCUGCAACCCCAUAGACGGCAGCCCACCAGGCUCCCCCGUCCCUGGGAUUCUCCAGGCUAGAACACUGGAGUGGGGUGCCAUUUCUUCCUCCAAUGCAUGAAAGUGAAAAGUGAAAGUGAAGUCGCUCGGUCGUGUCCGACUUCUAGCGACCCCAUGGACUGCAGCCUGCCAGGCUCCUCCGUCCAUGGGAUUUGCCAGGCAAGAGUACUGGAGUAGGUUGCCAUUGCCUUCUCCAGGGGAUCUUCCUGACCCAGGGAUCGAACCCAGGUCUCUCGCAUUGCAGGCUUAAUAUAUAUAUAUAUAUAAACCCCAAUCUCCCAAUUCAUCCCACUUCCCCUUCUCCCUUGGUGUCCACUUUUGUUCUCUAGGUCUGUGACCCUAUUUCUGCUUUGCAAAUAAGUUCAUCUGUGCCUUUUCUAGAUUCCACGUGUAAGCAAUAUUAUAUGAUAUUGAAAAUAAGCAGCAGGCCGUUCCCUCAGAGUUUGAUGGCUAUGGGGCCAGCUUAUCAAACCCCCCCAAGCUCAGACCACCACAGACAGUUUUCAUUUGUAAGAGCUGGCCUCCUGGGAUUAAGGUAGACAGAGAAGAUCCGAGAUUGUUGG
rnacentral:lncRNA from 1 species